AACAGAGAGAAGCUUGCUUCUUUGCUGACGAGCGGCGGACGGGUGAGUAAUGCUUGGGAACAUGCCUUGAGGUGGGGGACAACAGUUGGAAACGACUGCUAAUACCGCAUAAUGUCUACGGACCAAAGGGGGCUUCGGCUCUCGCCUUUAGAUUGGCCCAAGUGGGAUUAGCUAGUUGGUGAGGUAAUGGCUCACCAAGGCGACGAUCCCUAGCUGGUUUGAGAGGAUGAUCAGCCACACUGGGACUGAGACACGGCCCAGACUCCUACGGGAGGCAGCAGUGGGGAAUAUUGCACAAUGGGCGCAAGCCUGAUGCAGCCAUGCCGCGUGUGUGAAGAAGGCCUUCGGGUUGUAAAGCACUUUCAGUCAGGAGGAAAGGUUGGCGGUUAAUACCCGUUAGCUGUGACGUUACUGACAGAAGAAGCACCGGCUAACUCCGUGCCAGCAGCCGCGGUAAUACGGAGGGUGCGAGCGUUAAUCGGAAUUACUGGGCGUAAAGCGUACGCAGGCGGUUUGUUAAGCGAGAUGUGAAAGCCCCGGGCUCAACCUGGGAACUGCAUUUCGAACUGGCAAACUAGAGUGUGAUAGAGGGUGGUAGAAUUUCAGGUGUAGCGGUGAAAUGCGUAGAGAUCUGAAGGAAUACCGAUGGCGAAGGCAGCCACCUGGGUCAACACUGACGCUCAUGUACGAAAGCGUGGGGAGCAAACGGGAUUAGAUACC
rnacentral:rRNA from 1 species